rnacentral:rRNA from 1 species
CUGGUGCCAGCAGCCGCGGUAAUUCCAGCUCCAAUAGCGUAUAUUAAAGUUGCUGCGUUUAAAAAGCUCGUAGUUGGAUCUCGGUUCCAGGCUUGCGGUCCGCCUCGAGGUGGAUACUGCUCGUCCUGUGUUCGACGUCGUGGUGGUUCCUUGGUGCUCUUGACUGAGUGUCUCGGACGGUCCCGAACGUUUACUUUGAAAAAAUUAGAGUGCUCAAAGCAGGCGUAUCGCCUGAAUAAUUCCGCAUGGAAUAAUGGAAUAGGACCUCGGUUCCAGUUUCGUUGGUUUGCGAAUCCUUGAGGUAAUGAUUAAUAGGGACUGCCGGGGGCAUACGUAUUGCGGCGGGAGAGGUGAAAUUCGUGGAUCGCCGCAAGACGAACGACAGCGAAAGCAUUUGCCAAGAAUGUUCUCAUUAAUCAAGAACGAAAGUCAGAGGUUCGAAG